UGUGCAAGAGUCAUCUUUCUAUGACAAGAAGAGAAACGGAGAUCAUGAGGUACUGUUAGAAGCAACAACUGAUCUUCAUUUCAGCAGAGACAGGCUUCUAAGCAGGCCAGCAGUACAUCUUGCAAACAUAAUGAAGUUAUACCUGGUGGAUAGGCUUGCUGUUCUGCUCAGCCAGCGCUGAUGUCAAGCUUCCUCAGAAUCCAUCUGUGGCCUUAGCAGGGAGAAAGCAAUGCACACUGGAGUGGGCUGUUGAGUAACGCUCUGUUUUACCUAAACCUUGGCCAUACAUUGGUUAUCAAUGCAGCAUCUUUGAGGAUGGCUUACCUUGGGCACUCCUGUACUGGAUUUUGAGAAUGUGGCGUGUGCUAUAAGGUUAUCAAUUCAUUUUUUUGCAACAUCAAUCCUCAGUCUCACUGAGGGUUUUAAGGUAUGCUUCCAAAAGCUGUACGUAUCAUUUUCCACCAGUUUUUGUACCUUCCUUGGUCCCAUGGACUGUCAUUUUGAAGACUGCCUGGCUACUCCAGUAUUAAAAAA